rnacentral:rRNA from 1 species
GAUGAAUGCUGGCGGCGUGCCUAAUACAUGCAAGUCGAGCGAACAGACGAGGAGCUUGCUCCUCUGACGUUAGCGGCGGACGGGUGAGUAACACGUGGAUAACCUACCUAUAAGACUGGGAUAACUUCGGGAAACCGGAGCUAAUACCGGAUAAUAUAUUGAACCGCAUGGUUCAAUAGUGAAAGACGGUUUUGCUGUCACUUAUAGAUGGAUCCGCGCCGCAUUAGCUAGUUGGUAAGGUAACGGCUUACCAAGGCAACGAUGCGUAGCCGAACUGAGAGGGUGAUCGGCCACACUGGAACUGAGACACGGUCCAGACUCCUACGGGAGGCAGCAGUAGGGAAUCUUCCGCAAUGGGCGAAAGCCUGACGGAGCAACGCCGCGUGAGUGAUGAAGGUCUUCGGAUCGUAAAACUCUGUUAUUAGGGAAGAACAAAUGUGUAAGUAACUAUGCACGUCUUGACGGUACCUAAUCAGAAAGCCACGGCUAACUACGUG